UAUUCCAUUGGAUAUUCUUUCCUGCUUUGUCAAAGAUUAGUUGACCAUACGUUUGUGGGUCCAUUUCUGGGUUCUCUAUUCUGUUCCAUUGAUCUGAGUGUCUGUUCUUGUGUCAUGACCUUUCCUUCCUUAUACUUCAAUCAUUUUAUGUCCAGAGCUUACCUCUGGCUUAAUCUACUCCCUUUGUUAUCUCCACACACUCCAUGAGUGCAGAGAAAAUGCAUGCUUACCCCAGUCCUAACUCCUGAUGCCACUGCCUAUCAGGACCUGCUCAGGUGGGGUGGGGAAUCUGGUAUCCGUCCAGUGUAAGGGCAGGCAAUUGGGAGUGGCUGGUGGGUAGAGAGGGGGUGGAGAUAGGAGUUAGGCCAUGUUUCCUCCUAUUUCCAACCUCAGCAUAGGAUACAAACCCUAGCUUCUCUCAUUCUGUCCCCAUAGAGUCCUCCAGGCACAUCUGCCAUUGUUCCUUGGAGAGCAGGUCAUGGCCAGGAGGAAAUGGAGGGUGGGUGCAGGCCCUGUACAGACACAACCACAACCUCCAAGUGGCUAGACUGACUUGUUCAAGGUAUUUUUCUUGGCCUUUGAAUCCAAAGCCCCUGCCAGGUAACCUGCGCUGGCACCAUGGUCACAUCAAGGGCACCUAGAACUGCUAUCGCCAGAGGCAGAUGCCAUUUACAUUGCCCCCAACACAGGAGCACAGCAAAAUAGAUGUUCCUUUGCUCUGGACUCUUCCUGUUUUCUUCCUGGGGCUGCACAUGCCACUCUUCCCCCCACGCCCCCCUGCCAUUUGGAAAAAUAAAGCAUUCAACUGACCAUCCACUUA